UGAGUAACACGUAUCCAACCUGCCGUCUACUCUUGGACAGCCUUCUGAAAGGAAGAUUAAUACAAGAUGGCAUCAUGAGUCCACAUGUUCACAUGAUUAAAGGUAUUCCGGUAGACGAUGGGGAUGCGUUCCAUUAGAUAGUAGGCGGGGUAACGGCCCGCCUAGUCUUCGAUGGAUAGGGGUUCUGAGAGGAAGGUCCCCCACAUUGGAACUGAGACACGGUCCAA
rnacentral:rRNA from 1 species